UACGUAGGGCGCAAGCGUUAUCCGGAAUUAUUGGGCGUAAAGAGCUCGUAGGCGGUUGUCGCGUCUGCCGUGAAAGUCCGGGGCUCAACUCCGGAUCUGCGGUGGGUACGGGCAGACUUGAGGUAUGCAGGGGAGAAUGGAAUUCCUGGUGUAGCGGUGAAAUGCGCAGAUAUCAGGAGGAACACCGGUGGCGAAGGCGGUCUCUGGGCAUUACCUGACGCUGAGGAGCGAAAGUGUGGGG
rnacentral:rRNA from 1 species